rnacentral:lncRNA from 1 species
UUUGCGACGAGAUUUCCUGGGACGGGUAGGUUUGCAUUGCACUGAGCCAACAAUGUGGUAACAAUCACUCGGCAACCCCCGAGUUGAAGAAAGUCUUGUAUACUUAAUUGAGUUAAUUGGUCAACAGGACCCAGAGUGAUGUUAAAUCUCCCGGAUUCGUCUGUUGUUGUUCUUGCAACAGUGAAAUUUCGGCACCGCAGUUCAACUGCCGCUUCUGCAUAUGUACAUAAUAUCUGUUAACAGCAUGAUGAAAACUACAAAAUAUAUAUAUAUAUAUACUCACAUGAUGCAAUAUAUAUGCACGCCACAUUGAAUAUAAUCAGUAAGAUUGCAUUGUAAAUAUUUACUCACGAGGAAAAGGCGAGGCAACGCCUCCUGGGAACGUCUGAUUGAUCUGACAUAACACAGUCCCGCCGAUGUUAAACACAUUAUUAGCAAUAGGGUUCACGAGUUGAGCUUCAACACCGGAGGGAGCUGCCAUGAAUGCGGAAAUUGCAACCAAUAGGACAAGUAAGAGGGCGCUAUUAAGGGAGGCCAUUGAGGUUUGAAGUUGAGGAGAUCUGGUGGAUGAUAGAGGAUGUUGUUUUGAUGAGAUUCAGUGAGCUGUGCUCGAGCUUAUUUAUAGUAGUUGGUCGGGGCAUGCUACGAAGCCAGGGUGCCAAUGGUAAUGUUGUCUUUUAAAUUUUAAUAUUAUUAUGAUACAUAAUUAGAAAAUCAAUAUUGUCUUCUAGUGGCAUCUCAACUUGUACUCUGCCCCAUCUAGUGGUUUUGGUCAUUAUUUGAGGUCAAAUUUGUUUUGACAUGCUUGUGCAUGAAAGUUAUUCGAUAAUAGCUGAAAAAGUAUACUGGUGUUAAAAGUAUACUGACAAAUUUAGUUAUCAUCUAUACGUGGUUUUUUAAUCCCUCUAUUAACUUAUUUUAUUAAAGAAAUUUAUUAAAUUUCUAUUCAUAAAUUAUAAAAUUCAAAUAUAUUAAUUUGAACAAUUUGGUCAGGGCAAGAACUUUAACAAAAAUUUCAUUGAUUAGAAGUGACUAUAUAUAUAUAUAUAUAUAUAUAUAUAUAUAUAUAUAUAUAUAUAUAUAUAUAAAAACAAUAAACCAAAUCAAACAUACUCCGUAUAUCCGACCAUGCCUCUACCCUUAGAGAGGCUGUUUCGUGAAUAACCCCGGCUUAGUGCACAAUAAAUAAAAUUGUGUGUGAUAUAAUAGUAAUAUAAUACUUUAGCUCAUGACCUUCUUCACAUGUUACUUAUUUAAACAGUUCUAUAAUGGGUGAUAAUUAUUGAAACAGAAAUAUCAAACUAGAUCAAAACUGUCAUGGCAUACUUUCUUAAAUUAACUAUAUAUAUAGCUUCUGUUAAUUAUUUAGUACCUACCUGGAUUCAUCGCUGACAUAUAUACCUAGCUAGGGCUUACUGUCAAAUAUAAAUCCAACGUUUUUAGCCAAAAAUGUUUUGUAGUGAAAUGUCUGUAUAGAUUAGGCCCACUUUGAUCUUCUUUGCGUCCUUUUGAUCAUUCACGAAUAUUCUUCCCGACAACCCCAAGUUGCCAACUAGCUGUAUCAUAUGCAGUGCGCCGAUCUAACUAUAAAAUUAAGGGGUCAAUUUUUUUGUAAAAAAAAUUAAGAGAGAUCAAAAAAAUUAAGAGGUCAAUUUCAAUUUUACAACCUAAAAAUGUGUAUAAUAUUAAAAAAAAAAAUAAUUUAGAGGGUCAGUGUUGCCCCUUCCCCUCCGCCUCUGAUCAUAUGAUAUAUAACGCAGCGGGUAGAUUAAUUCAGGCAACUUGCAUAUAUCAUACAGUAGUGCUCGCGCCUUUAUAUGCUAUAUAUUGCUGCCACCAGGAGUUACACUAUAUAUAUAGUUCCCCACCCACAAGCACCAUGCAAGUUGUCCGGAAAUCUUGUAGGAUAUCAGCACAGACGUUAACUGGAACUCAAGUUUAUCUAUACACUUUCUGAUAACCAUAUAAUUAAAAACAUACAACGUUUAAAUAAAAACUACUCUUAAAAAUAAGCAACUAGUUUCCUGCAUAAACUCCAUCACAUAAACUUUUCCCCACAAUUCUACUACUAAGUCACACGGUUAACAAAAGCAUUCAAAAACUAUAUUAAAAGAAUACUUAAAUUUAAGUUUGAGAUUAAAUUCCAACAAAUCUCCUUAUCAGAAUCUCAGGACACAAUUUCCACACGUAAUUUAUAUAGUUUAUGAUCAUGAUAUCUGGUUUCUUAAUUAUCACUCUUUGAAGAUUCAUGUUCAAAAUUUGUUUAUGUAGUUUAUAUUUAUGAAUCAGUGAACAAUGAGCGAUACCCGUACUACAACACAUCCUGAUUUUUUUGACGGAUUUUAAACCUGGAAUCCAUCAAUACACUGGAAAAAAACUCAUUCCAUAAUAUUAAAGAAUAUAAGAUAACCAUUCCAUGAUAUAACCGGGUAACUCUAAAUCUUGUAGAAUAUAAAUUAACCAUUCCAUAAUAUUGGUCCUCAAUCACCGAAAACCCCAACAAACUUAACAAAUAAUUGAUGUGGUUGGAAAUUGCUAUGAUUUGCACUGACUCAUCGUCAUUGUCCUCCAACGAAUUGAAUUUGUUAUGCACCUGAUUCUCUGUUUAGGCUUUCUCUCUUCAAGAUAUUAUUUAGGAGAGAAACUGGAAGAUAAAAACAGAUUUGUAAGUCAUGUUAAUGUGGAGGCGGAAGCAAAGUGUGGGAUUAAGAUUUUGAGUUGUGUAAAAUAUUUUAUUGCAAAGUUGCCUAUCCGGAGUUUACAUGUACAAAGCAGUUAAAAAUUACAAAUACAUCAACUUUUAGUAUUAGUCGUCCAAUUAGGUUAGCAUCCAAUGGUGUUGAAUAUGAUCUUUAGACACUCCAAAAUUUUUGAUCUCCAAAAAGCUGAACUACCCACAUAUACAGGGAUUUACUCCACUACAAACUCACUUGAAAAUAAAAUCUAGAAACAAGUGACUGAGAUACUAAUAUUUAAUGGUAAUUCAGUUUUGUCCAAGCCCCACCCCUACCCCCACCCCCUUUCGCCCCUAUCCCAUCCUAGCCGAGGCCCCACUCUUCUUUCGAUCACUGUCAUCAUCUCCGAUUACCAUCAUUAAUUCCGACCUAGAAAUCAGUGAUUGGAACAAUUGCAAUUAGUGAUUAUUCAGUUUUAUCUCAGCCUCUGCCCAACCAGUACGAGCCCAAGCAACAACCCCAACCAAGCCGAAAUCAAUUAGAAUAUAAGACCCACCCCAGUCCCAAGCAACAACCCCAUCCUAACUGAAAUAUAUUACAAAAUAAGCGGAGACAAGCCAGGAGUCUUGAGUCAAAGAGGAGCAAGUGUCGCAAGCUAUAAAUGAGGUGAAAGAGUUGUAGCCUGCUCUUGAUGAGAAUAAAUCUCCACUACAUGAAUUAACCUACCAUGACUCAGUUUAAGUGAGAGACUGAGUGGGGUGUUUCAAAACAGGUGCGGGGACGAGGAUGGUGGUUGCAGUAGUUCCAGCAUGGGAUGGCGGGUGGUUGUGCUUGUGGCCGGGCCAGGGGCGAUAGCUGUGGUUGCAGUUACGGCGUGGGGUGGUUGCAGAGAUGUCCAGGGUUGUUUAGUGAUUAUAUUUAAGUAACUAGUGAUUUUUUUUUAGUUUAUAGGUUUAUAUUGAUUUGUAUUUGAUAAUCUCCCCAUAUAUAUAUCCGAUAUAUAUAAAAUUUCUUUGUCAUUACUCUACUGAUUCUCUUAUAUAUUACAAACAAUUGUCCCAGCCUACCAGAUGUGUACAACAUUAGUAUGAGAAACGUUUCUUAUCAUUAAUUUGUUUUUAAUAAACAGAACAUUGCAUUUUUUUUACUUAAAUCAUCGGUUAUUUGUAAGUUGUUACAUCUAUGCAGCAGUAAUUAAAGCAUUAAAAUAUCUUGUAUAUAAAUUAGAGGACCUCAAUUGUUACAGAAUAUCACACAUUUGAUUCUGUGGUGAUCCCUCCAUAAUACAAGUGUCUGCAAGUAAAAUCAAACGCCAACAUAUAUAAAAAUUAAAAAGUAAAGUAACUUGUGUUAUGAUUGAUUGCUGCCUGCAUAUAUCCAUCAAUAUUACACUGAACUUUAUUUGGGGUACAUAUAUUUGUAACAUCGGCUGAGCGAUCGAUGCUUAUAUAGGAGGAUAUUAUAUGCCCAGACCGUUAACCAACCUGAAAACUCCUGCAACAAAAUUGAAGACGUUGAUACCAUUGAGGAUGCUGAAGACACCUGCAGUUAAGUUUGCGACUAGAUUUCCAGGGACGGGUAGGUUGGCAUUGCACUGAGCCAACAAUGUGGUAACAAUCACUCGGCAACCCCCGAGUUGAAGAAAGUCUUGUAUAGUUAAUUGAGUGAAUUGGUCAACAGGACCCAAAGUGAUGUUAAAUCUCCCGGAUUCGUCUGUUGUUGUUCUUGCAACAGUGAAAUUUCGGCACCGCAGUUCCACUGCCGCUUCUGCAUAAGUACAUAAUAUCUGUUAACAGCAUGAUGACAACUACACAAUAUAUAUAUACUCACAUGAUGCAAUAUAUAUAUGCACGCCACAUUGAAUAUAAUCAAUAAGAUUGCAUUGUAAAUAUUUACUCACGAGGAAAAGGCGAGGCAACGCCUCCCGGGAACGUCUGAUUGAUCUGACAUAACACCGUCCCGCCGAUGUUAAACACGUUAUUAGCAAUAGGGUUCACGAGUUGAGCUUCAACACCCGAGGGAGCUGCCAUGAAUGCGGAAAUGGCAACCAAUAGGACAAGUAAGAGGGCGCUGUUAAGGGAGGCCAUUGAGGUUUGAAGUUUAGGAGAUCUGGUUGAUGAUAGAUCGAGGAUGUUGUUUUGAUGAGAUUCAGUGAGUUGUGCGCGAGCUUAUUUAUAGUACUUGGUCGGGGCAUGCUCCGAGGCCAGGUGAUAAUGGUAAUGUUUGUCUUUUAAUAGUGCUUCUACAAUCAAUAUACUUAUAUAAAGGAGAAGCGAGGGGCGUGUAGGUGGCGCCUCUCACAUCGCUGUCAUAAGUAUAGUGACAAAUUUAGUUAUCUAUACGUGAGUUGUUUAAUCCCUCUAUUAACUUAUUUUAUUAAAGAAAUUUAUUAAAUUUCUGUUCAAAAAUAAUAAAAUUCAAAUAUAUUAAUCUUAACAUUUUGGUCAGGUCAAGAACUUUAACGAAAAUUUCAUUGAUUAGAAGUGACUCACUAAAUAUGUAUAUAUAGCUUCUGUUAAUUAUUUAGUACUCCUACCUAGCUACCUGGAAUCAUCGCUGACAUAUAUACUUAGCUAGGGCUUACUGUCAAAUAUAAAUCCAACGUUUUUGGCCAAAUAUGUUUUGUGGUGAAAUGUCUGUAUAGGUUAGGCCCACUUUGAUCUUCUUUGAUCAUUCACGAAUAUUCUUCAGGACAACCCCAAGUUGCCAACUUUGUAUCCAAUGAUAUAUAACGCAGCGGGUAGAUGAAUUCAGGCAACUUGAUAUAUCAUACAGUAGUGCUGGCCCUUUAUAUGCUAUAUAUUGCUGCCACCAGGAGUUACACUAUAUAUAUAGUUCCCCACCCACAAGCACCAUGCAAGUUGUACGGAAAUCUUGUAGGAUAUCAGCACAGACAUGUUAACUGGAACUCAGGUUUAUUUUCAUACACUUUCUGAUAACCAUAUAAUUAAAAACAAACAACGUUUAAAGAAAAACCACUCCUUAAAAUAUGCAAAUAGUUUCCUGCAUAAACUCCAUCACAUAAACAUUUCCCUAGAAAUCCUCCACUACUCUACUACUCUUUCCAGACUACAAUAAGUCAUACUCUUAACAAAAGCAUUCAAAAACUAAAUGAAACGAAUACUUAAAUUUAAGUUUAAGAUUAAAUUCCAACAAAUCUCCUUAUCAGAAUCUCAGUACACAAUCUCAUCACGUAAUUUAUAUAGUUUAUUAUCAUGAUAUCUGGUUUCUUAUCACUUUUUCAAGAUUCAAGUUCAAUAUUUGUUUAUGUUUCUGAAUCAGUGAACAAUGAGCUGUACCCGUACUACAACACAUCCUGAUUUUUUUUUUUGACGGAUUUUAAGCCUAGAAUCCAUUAAUACACUGGAAAAAAAACUUUUUUCAUAAUAUUGAAGAAUAUAAGAUAAUUCCAUAAUAUAACUGGGUACCUCUAAAUCUUGUAGAAUAUAAAGUAACCAUUCCAUAAUAUUGGUCCUCAAUCACCGAAAACCCUAAUGUUGCGUUUGGUUACGGAGAAUGAAAUGAGUAAAAUUACUCGAACCUAAUAGAGAUACGAGGGAAGUUUUGAAAUAAAUUUGAAUGAGUGCAAAAUUGUAUGAUGAGAUUUGAGAAGAAAUUGGAGGUAGGAGAGAAUGGAGCAUUCCAUCUCAAAUUAAAAGUAUGAUCUCUGGUACAUAAUGUAAGGAACGGAAUGGAUGAAGGAAUGAAAUUUGUUAAUAAUUGCUCAAAAUAUAGUUCAUUUUUCAUCCAUUCCUUCCGGAUCAUUCACCCCAACCAAACACAACAUAACAAACUUAACAAAUAAUUGAUGUAGUUGGACAUUGCUAUCAUUUGCACCGACUCAUCAUCAUUGUCUUGCAACGAAUUGAAUUUGUUAUGAACCUCAUUCUUUGUUUAGGCUUUCUCUCUUCAAGAUAUUCAGGCAACUUGAUAUAUCAUAUAGUAGUGCUCGCCCAUUAUAUGCUAUAUAUUGUUGCCACCAGGAGUUACACUAUAUAUAUAGUUCUCCACCCACAAGCACCAUGCAAGUGGUACGGAAAUCUUGUAGGAUAUCAGCACAGACAUGUUAACUGGAACUCAAGUUUAUUUUCAUACACUUUCUGAUAACCAUAUAAUUAAUAACAUACAACGGUUAAAUAAAAACCACUCCUAAAAAUAAGCAACUAGUUUCCUGCAUAAACUCCAUCACAUAAACAUUUGCCUAGAAUUAGUCCUCAACUACUCUACUACUGUUUCCCCACUACAAUACUAGACUAAGUAACAAAAGCAUUCGAAAACUAAAUAAAACGAAUACUUAAAUUUAAGUUUAAAAUUAAAUACCAACAAAUCUCCUUAUCAGAAUCUCAGUACACAAUUUCAUCAUGUAAUUCAUAUAGUUUAUGAUCAUGAUAUUUGGUUUCUUAUCACUCUUUCAAGAUUCAUGUUCAAAAUUUGUUUAUGUAGUUUAUAUUUAUGAAUCAGUGAACAAUGACCAGUACCCAUCCUACAACAAAUCCUAUUUUUUUGACGGAUUUCGAAUCCAUCAAUACACUGAAAAAAACUCAUUCUAUAAUAUCAAAGAAUAAAAGAUAACCAUUCCAUAAUAUUGGUCAUCAAUCACCGAAAAUCCUAACAAACUUAACAAAUAAUUGAUAGUAGUUGGACAUUGCUAUGAUUUGCGCUGACUCAUCAUUAUUGUCAUGCAACGAUAAUUGAAUUUGUUAUGCACCUAAUUUUUUGCUUAGGCUUUCUCUCUUCAAGAUAUUAUUUAGGAGAGAAACUGAAAGAUAAAGACAGAUUUGUAACUCAUGUUAUUGUGGAGGCGGAAGCAAAGUGUGGGAUUAGGAUUUUGAGUUGUGUAAAAUAUUUUAUUGCAAAGUUGCGUAUCUGGAGUUUACAUGUACAAAUCAGUUUAAAAAUUACAAAUACAUCAACUUUUAGUAUGAGUCGUCCAAUUAAGUUAUCAUCCAAUGGUGUUGAAUAUGAUAUUUAGAGACUCCAAAAUUUUUGAUCUCCAAAGAGCUGAACUACCCACACACAUAUAGAGAUUUACUCCACUUAAAACUCACUUGAAAUUAAAAACCAUAAACAAUUGACUGAGAUACUAAUAUUUAAUAGUAAUUCAGUUUUGUCCAAACCCCGCUCGUACCCCCACCCCUGUUCGCCCCUAACCCAUCCUAGCCCCGGCCCCACUCUUCUUUCGAUCACUGUCAUCAUCUCCGAUUACCAUCGUUAAUUCCGACCUAGAAAUCAAUGAUGGGAACAAUUGCAAUUAGUGAUUAUUCAGUUUCAUCUCAUCCUCUGCCCAACCCAGUCCCAGCCCAAGCAACAACCCCAACCAAGCCUAAAUCAAUUACAAAAUAAGCGGCACCCCAGUCCCAAGCAACAACCCCAUCCUAACUGAAAUCUAUUACAAAAUAAGUGGAUACAAGCCAGGAGUCUUGAGUCGAAGAGGAGCAAGUGUCGCAAGCUGUAAAUGAGGUGAAAGAGUUGUAGCCUGCUCUUGAUGAGAAUAAAUCUCCACUACUUGAACCUACCAUGACUCAGUUUAAGUGAAAGACUGAGCGGGGGUGUUUCAAAACAGGCGGGGACGAGGAUGGUGGUUGCAGGAGUAAUGCUACCUGCACAUAAACUCCUACAAAAUUCUUUCACAGAAUGACGUGGUAGAGCCACCUUUGCAUAAUAGUAAUGUGUCUUGCCGGCCACUAUUUUUGUGUACACGCUUUUCUUUUUCAUUUUUUUUUUCUUAAUAUUGAGAUUGAUGUUUUAGUUCACUUAAAAAAUGUUACAUUUAGUUUUUACUUUUCUUACACUUUUCAUUUUUUUUAAAUUUUUUUAUAUUUAAUAAUUAUAUAAUUUUUAUGUUAUUUACUUUUCACUUAUAUUAUUUAUUUUUUACAUUUAAUACUUGUUGAGUUUUAUAUCUAACUUUUUAUAUCAAAUUCACAAAAAAUAUAUAUUUUGUUUUUAUCGCCCACUAUGCUUGUACAUAUAUAUUUUAUUUUCAUUUUCUUGUUGGAAAAUUGAAAUUAAAUUUGAUAUUCAGUGUACACGUCAUUCUGUGAAAGAAUUCUGCAUGAGUUUAUGUGUACGUAGCAUUACUCUGGUUGCACUAGUUCCAGCAUGGGAUGGCGGGUGGUUGUGCUUGUGGCCGGGAUGGGGCCGGCGAUAGAGGUGGUUGCAGUUGGAGCGUGUGCGCCUGUGCGGGGUUGUUUUGUAUAUAUAUUAAAUAUAGAAUAUCAUGUUAAUUAAUAAAAAAAAACUCACACACUAUUAUAUUUAAGUAUUUUUAGUUUUUAGGAUAUAUUGAUUUGUAUUUGAUAAUCUUCCCAUAUAUAUAAAAUUUCUUUGUCAUUAUUCUAGUGAUUCUCUUGUAACAAACAAUUGUUCCAGCCUACCAGAUGUGUACAACAUUAGUAUGAGAAACGUUUCUUAUCAUUAAUUUGUUUUAAAUAAACAUUACAUUGCAUUUUUUUAACGUAAAUCAUCGGCUAUUUGUAAGUUGUUACAUAUAUAUAUGCAGCAGUAAAUUAAAGCAUUAAAAUAUCUUGUAUAUAAAUUAGAGGACCUCAAUUGUUACAGAAUAUCACACAUUUGAUUCUGUGUUGAUCCCUCCAUAAUACAAGCUUCGCAAGUAAAAUCAAACGCCAACAUAUAUAAAAAUUAAAAAGUAAAGUAACUUGUCUUAUGAUUGAUUGCUGCCUGCAUAUAUCCAUCAAUAUUACACUGAACUUUAUUUGGGGUACAUAUAUUUGUAACAUCGGCUGAGCGAUCGAUGCUUAUAUAGGAGGAUAUUAUAUGCCCAGACCGUUAACCAACCUGAAAACUCCUGCAACAAAAUUGAAGACGUUGAUACCAUUGAGGAUGCUGAAGACACCUGCAGUUAAGUUUGCGACUAGAUUUCCAGGGACGGGUAGGUUGGCAUUGCACUGAGCCAACAAUGUGGUAACAAUCACUCGGCAACCCCCGAGUUGAAGAAAGUCUUGUAUAGUUAAUUGAGUGAAUUGGUCAACAGGACCCAAAGUGAUGUUAAAUCUCCCGGAUUCGUCUGUUGUUGUUCUUGCAACAGUGAAAUUUCGGCACCGCAGUUC